GACGAACGCUGGCGGCGUGCUUAACACAUGCAAGUCGAACGGAAAGGCCCUGCUUUUGUGGGGUGCUCGAGUGGCGAAAGGGGGAGUAACACGUGAGUAACCUGCCCUUGACUUUGGGAUAACUUCAGGAAAAUGGGGCUAAUACCGGAUAGGAGCUCCUGCUGCAUGGUGGGGGGUGGAAAGUUUCGGCGGUUGGGGAUGGACUCGCGGCUUAUCAGCUUGUUGGUGGGGUAGUGGCUUACCAAGGCUUUGACGGGUAGCCGGCCUGAGAGGGUGACCGGCCACAUUGGGACUGAGAUACGGCCCAGACUCCUACGGGAGGCAGCAGUGGGGAAUAUUGCACAAUGGGCGGAAGCCAGAUGCAGCAACGCCGCGUGCGGGAUGACGGCCUUCGGGUUGUAAACCGCUUUCGCCUGUGACGAAGCGUGAGUGACGGUAAUGGGUAAAGAAGCACCGGCUAACUACGUG
rnacentral:rRNA from 1 species